UUAAGUUCAGCGGGUAUCCCUACCUGAUCCGAGGUCAACCUGAAAAAUUGGGGGUUGACUGGCAAGUAACCACCUGGAUCUCCAAAGCGAGAAGGAUUACUACGCUUGAAGCCAAAUGGCACCGCCACUGAUUUUAAGACCUGCCAGAAACUGGCAAUGUCCGAAUACCAAGCAAAGCUUGAGGGUUGUAAUGACGCUCG
rnacentral:misc_RNA from 1 species